rnacentral:lncRNA from 1 species
GGGGGGAUUUUGCAAAAAAUAUUUUAAUUAUUAUUGCAUUUCAAUUUUCUGAACUUUUAUGAACAUUGGGUUUUUUCUGAACUUUUAUUGUUAAAAAAGGCACUGCGCCAGGAAUGGUACAUAUAUACUACUUUUGUCAUAUUUUACGGGCAACGAAAUUCACGGGAUCAGCUAUAUAGUAUCUUUUUUAUAAAAAAGACUAAAAUUAAAAUUAAAUUAAAUUAAAGGUAAACGAAUUGGAAUUUUACCGUCACCAUUGAGUUUCGAUUAAAAAUGUACGGUGAUAAUACCGUCGCCAACGACAUUAUUAUUGAAUAACGGAUAUUUGAAAUUAUAUUCUACUAGAUAAUCAACGGAUAAAAAUAAAAAUAAAAAAUGAAUAUUUUUUGACGAAUAAGAGUAUAAGAAGUCGCGGGCCUGCGUUUUAUGAUAAAAAUAACACUUUAUCAAACAACCCAAUAUUUUGAUGUAUUGAUGUAUAAUGAAUAUAUUAUGCAUAUAAUUUUUUAAUGUAAUCCCCCCCGCAUUGAAAAUUACAACGACGGGGUCAAGGAGCGAAUGGAUAUUAUAUGAAAAAUUACCUUGAAACAACUAAUGAUGACGGGCUUCCAGAAUAUGAUGAUCCAGUAACAUAUUGUUUUCGAUGAUUAGUAAAACAUUGUUGUUAGAUUUAAUUAAUACAUAAAAAAAAUUGUUUAUGUAUAUACUUGCACUUUUAAAAUUAUGAUGGUUUAAUAUAUAAGCAAUUUUGUUCUUCAUUAGGUAAAACGAUUUUAUAUUUAUGAUUUAUAUAAUCUUAUUAGAUAUAUGAAUAACAUUGUUUUAUUUGAUAAAGCAUAAUUUUUCUAUAUUA